UACGGAGGAUCCAAGCGUUAUCCGGAUUUAUUGGGUUUAAAGGGUGCGUAGGCGGCUUAUUAAGUCAGGGGUGAAAGACGGUGGCUCAACCAUCGCAGUGCCUUUGAUACUGAUGAGCUUGAAUGAACUUGAGGUAGGCGGAAUGAGACAAGUAGCGGUGAAAUGCAUAGAUAUGUCUCAGAACACCAAUUGCGAAGGCAGCUUACUAAGGUUUAAUUGACGCUGAGGCACGAAAGCGUGGGGAUCAAACAGG
rnacentral:rRNA from 1 species